rnacentral:rRNA from 1 species
AGCCUCCUGGGAUAACACUGACGCUCAUGCAGAAAGCGUGGGGGAGCAAACAGGAUUAGAUACCCUGGUAGUCCCCGCCCUAAACGAUGUCAAUUAGCUGUUGGGGCCUUCGGGCCUUGGUAGCGCAGCUAACGCGUGAAGUUGACCGCCUGGGGAGUACGGUCGCAAGAUUAAAACUCAAAGGAAUUGACGGGGACCCGCACAAGCGGUGGAUGAUGUGGAUUAAUUCGAUGCAACGCGAAAAACCUUACCUACCCUUGACAUGUCUGGAAUGCCGAAGAGAUUUGGCAGUGCUCGCAAGAGAACCGGAACACAGGUGCUGCAUGGCUGUCGUCAGCUCGUGUCGUGAGAUGUUGGGUUAAGUCCCGCAACGAGCGCAACCCUUGUCAUUAGUUGCUACGAAAGGGCACUCUAAUGAGACUGCCGGUGACAAACCGGAGGAAGGUGGGGAUGACGUCAAGUCCUCAUGGCCCUUAUGGGUAGGGCUUCACACGUCAUACAAUGGUCGGGACAGAGGGUCGCCAACCCGCGAGGGGGAGCCAAUCCCAGAAACCCGAUCGUAGUCCGGAUCGCAGUCUGCAACUCGACUGCGUGAAGUCGGAAUCGCUAGUAAUCGCGGAUCAGCAUGUCGCGGUGAAUACGUUCCCGGGUCUUGUACUACACACUGCCUCCGGUUCCAA